rnacentral:rRNA from 1 species
AAUAGAUACCCCGGUAGUCCACGCCGUAAACGAUGUCGACUUGGAGGUUGUUCCCUUGAGGAGUGGCUUCCGGAGCUAACGCGUUAAGUCGACCGCCUGGGGAGUACGGCCGCAAGGUUAAAACUCAAAUGAAUUGACGGGGGCCCGCACAAGCGGUGGAGCAUGUGGUUUAAUUCGAUGCAACGCGAAGAACCUUACCUACUCUUGACAUCCACGGAACUUAGCAGAGAUGCUUUGGUGCCUUCGGGAACCGUGAGACAGGUGCUGCAUGGCUGUCGUCAGCUCGUGUUGUGAAAUGUUGGGUUAAGUCCCGCAACGAGCGCAACCCUUAUCCUUUGUUGCCAGCGGUUAGGCCGGGAACUCAAAGGAGACUGCCAGUGAUAAACUGGAGGAAGGUGGGGAUGACGUCAAGUCAUCAUGGCCCUUACGAGUAGGGCUACACACGUGCUACAAUGGCGCAUACAAAGAGAAGCGACCUCGCGAGAGCAAGCGGACCUCAUAAAGUGCGUCGUAGUCCGGAUUGGAGU